UACAGAGGGGGCAAGCGUUAUUCGGAAUUAUUGGGCGUAAAGGGCGCGUAGGCGGCUUCGCAAGUGGUGGGUGAAAUCCCCCGGCUUAACCGAGGAACUGCCCUCCAAACUGCGUUGCUUGAGUCCGGGAGAGGUGAGUGGAAUUCCCAGUGUAGCGGUGAAAUGCGUAGAUAUUGGGAGGAACACCAGUGGCGAAGGCGGCUCACUGGACCGGAACUGACGCUGAGGCGCGAAAGCGUGGGGAGCAAACGGG
rnacentral:rRNA from 1 species